rnacentral:rRNA from 1 species
GACGAACGCUGGCGGCGUGCUUAACACAUGCAAGUCGAACGAAGAGCGAUGGAAGCUUGCUUCUAUCAAUCUUAGUGGCGAACGGGUGAGUAACGCGUAAUCAACCUGCCCUUCAGAGGGGGAUAACAGUUGGAAACGACUGCUAAUACCGCAUACGAUCUAAUCUCGGCAUCGAGGAUAGAUGAAAGGUGGCCUCUACAUGUAAGCUAUCACUGAAGGAGGGGAUUGCGUCUGAUUAGCUAGUUGGAGGGGUAACGGCCCACCAAGGCGAUGAUCAGUAGCCGGUCUGAGAGGAUGAACGGCCACAUUGGGACUGAGACACGGCCCAGACUCCUACGGGAGGCAGCAGUGGGGAAUCUUCCGCAAUGGACGAAAGUCUGACGGAGCAACGCCGCGUGAGUGAUGACGGCCUUCGGGUUGUAAAGCUCUGUUAAUCGGGACGAAAGGCCUUCUUGCGAAUAGUGAGAAGGAUGGACG